AAUAGGUAGUUUCAUUGUUGUGCCACUCAUGCAUCAGCCUGGUUCGAUGGCAGUGGCUGCAGCUCUCAGUGAGCUCUCAAGGUGUUUGUCACAAAUUUUUGAUGAAAUUUUAUUCUUCCUGGGAUUCCUCCUUUAAAAUCAGUUGUUCACAAACGAAUGUAGUAUGUGAAUCUGGAUGGGCCAGGAUGCUUGGGGGAAGAGCUGCCGCCAUGAUGGCACAGAGCUGAGCUGCUGGGCGGGAAGAGCUGCCGCCAUGAUGGCACAGAGCUGAGCUGCUGGGCGGGAAGGGCUGCCGCCAUGAUGGCACAGAGCCGGGCUGCUGGGCGGGAAGGGCUGCCGCCAUGAUGGCACAGAGCCGGGCUGCUGAGUGGGAAGAGCUGCCGCCAUGAUGGCACGGAGCUGGGCUGCUGAGUGGGAAGAGCUGCCGCCAUGAUGGAUGGCACAGAGCUGAGCUGCUGAGCGGGAAGAUGGCGUGAGGCAGAGGGCGGCCGCAGGGCAGGCAGGACAGGCCUGGCCUAACCCAGCCCCUGGUUCAUGUGGCACACAACCUUGAGUUCCAGCUGUUGUUUUUCUUCAGUUCUGACCCUCACAUCUUCCCUUCAAGUGGAAGCAGGCCAAGGAAAGCUGACAACACCCACAGAGUUUGCAGGAAGUCACAGAAAGAGAAGGAGUUGGCAGACAGCUGUAGAAACCAGCAACAGGCCUGCAUUGCCGGCAGCCAGGGCUGGGGAAGGAGGAGGCCUGGACCAGGCGGAUGGAGCCAGGAGACGGAUGGAGCGAGAUGCCUGCGCGCCGGGCGCCUGUUACCUAGCAACCCGCCGAGAUCGCCCAAAAUGAAUAGACCCACAAACAAAAAUGAAAAGGAGAUAAAAAAGAGUAAAAGUCUAUGGGGCUCAAAGGUUAAUAUUCCUCUAUCUAAUAACUUAGUUUCAGAAAAUUGCGUUUUAACCUUUUCGAAGCAUUCAGGAGAGAGAUUUCUGUUAAAUUAAAUUAGAUCACAUUUGUAUGAAAUGGGGGGAGAGAAAUUAAAUGCAGAAUUUAUUAUUUUUUCCAUCUUCCUGCCCAGUAUUUUUGCAAUUCCUUGUAUUUUCUGUUGACUGCCACUGCUCCGCUCCCCUUCUGGCUCCGAUGCAGCCAGCGGGCUGGGGGGAACUAUUGGUGGCUGUGGGGGGCUGGCUGGUGUGAGGCACUCUGACAUUACUGGGGCUUUCAUAGAAUUUUCUCCAAGGGAGACAGAAGAUCUUCCUCAGUGCAGGAUAAUUAAACCUUGCAUCAUCUCCUCUGUAGCCCCCAUCCAUCUCGCACAGAGGAAGGAGCAGUGAGGGACACAUUGAAAUUCACAAAGCAAAAACCUGGUAGGAACAAGAGUGAGAUCUGGGACAUGUUUCUUGCUUGGAAAUCUUGCUGCUUCCUAUGAAAUUCCCAUUCUGCCAGAUACCAACAUCCACAACAGCCUUGGAGUGCCAGCCUCCAACCCGUGUAGACAUGGUCUGAAGUCUGCAACACAGCUGGGAGUGAUCAAAAACAGAGGAGCCUGUGGCAGACUACACUGAACUCUCAGGAGCCCCUCCCUUAGAAUCACAGAAUCGUUCAGGUUGCAAAAGACCUCUGAGAUCUGC
ensembl:lncRNA